UACGUAGGGUGCAAGCGUUGUCCGGAAUUAUUGGGUGUAAAGAGCUCGUAGGCGGUUUGUCGCGUCUGCUGUGAAAACUCGGGGCUUAACCCCGGGCCUGCAGUGGGUACGGGCAGACUAGAGUGCGGUAGGGGAGACUGGAAUUCCUGGUGUAGCGGUGAAAUGCGCAGAUAUCAGGAGGAACACCGGUGGCGAAGGCGGGUCUCUGGGCCGUAACUGACGCUGAGGAGCGAAAGCAUGGGGAGCGAACAGG
rnacentral:rRNA from 1 species